UAAGCUGCUUAUGAAAAGUAACCCGUACCUACUUUUAAAAGUUGUUGACAAAAGCGAGAAAAUUAUAAAAUAAGUUGUUUUUACAAAAUUUACAAAACACAAUUUUUAUAAAAAUUAUUAAAUAAACAACUUAUUAAAUUUCAACCGCACUCCCAAACUGACCUAUAGAAUAGACGUAAAUGCAAUUUCUAAUUACAUGGCCUUUGUUCAUUUUAACAUCAUUACAUAGUCUAGACUUUUUCGGCAGUAUUACAAGUUCUAAAAUCUCAAAUGAGGUGAUGAUCACUCACUGGAAAGUGUGCUGGAAUGGAGUCAUAACUAAUUUUUUCAAUUGUGAAAUUGAUCGAUCAUUCAAUAAACGAGUGUCACACAAGUUCAUGAACCGAAGAUAAUAAGAUAUGGGAUACUUGAAAAGUAUAGUAAAGUUCAUCAUGGAACCCAACCAAGCUUGUGGUUCCAAUUAAGUCAAUCGUCUGCAGACUUCUGGGUCUCGGUCUUGGUCAUGUUCGUGAGGUCUUCCGAAUUACGUUUUGCUGGAUUGUACGCUGUUCACAUCAACAUUCUGUACAAGAGUGGGAUGAGUUCUCCUCAAUCAAAUCUUUUUCAAAAGAUCCCUGGUUAGUUAUGGGCCGUAUGGGACUAUAUUUUGCGACGGUGAAGUUCAAUAUAAGCACAUAUGUGUGCAUAUCAUGGGCUGGGCUGCUAUAUACUAUGGACCAACUCAUUUUUGGACUCUUGUAGUGUAAAUGGUAAAACCCAGAAAUCAACAUUUUAAUAGACUUUAAAGAAUUCAACUAAUCAUGUGUUAAAUUAAAAAAAAAAAAAAACGAAGGCUCUUUGCGUGCUCAGUUGAAACUAAUGCAUGAUCUCACAAAUGGCUAGCAUUUGAUGACAAAAGUUGGUUUACUAAUUGUCCUUGCCCGUUAAUUAAUUUUAUUUAUCAAGUUUCAUUGAUUUAGAGUGCCCAAAAGUAAAGACGAUAAUUAUUAAUGCAAAUAAUAUAAUCAUUACGCUAAUUAUAAUUUAAUUUGCUAACGAGUUAAUUACAUGUUUCUGCCACAUGGCCCAGUGAGCACAAACUACAACUACCAUUUCAAGUUCCAACUUUGAACUGCAAGUUGAUUAAAAAAGGGAAAAAAUGAUAGGUUUUGAUGACCCAAUUGUCUUUCUUUAAUAUAUAGUGUCCUUUUCAUUAACUAUUAUACAUAUAUUAUGCAUGUAAUUAGAUAGUUAGAAGGAAGAAAAGACCACGAGUAUGAUAAUUUGGAAUUUGGAUCCCUUUUUAAGACCUUAGUGUUGAAUAUUGAUGGAAAAUAAUGAUUUUAAGCAACACAUCAUAUAUAUAAGUCAAGUGGUAUAUAUAGCCUAAGUGUUGAAUAUUGAUGGAAAAAAAAAAAACGAUUUUAAGCUACGCGUCGUAUAUAUAAGUCAAGUGGUAGAUAUUUAUGUAUAUCAAAACAUGAUAUAUUGUACCAAUGAAAGAAAACGGUAGUCAAUAAUAACCUUGAUUGUGAUCGUCAUUAAUUAUUUUCGUAUUAGAAUUAGGGGUGUUGCUAAAUUACAUCAUAUAUAACUUACGGUAAGUUCAAAAAUAGUUACCUAUGAUCUCUUAGUUAUUUCACAUGAUAUCAUUUUUUUAGUAUUAACUAACUACUUUUGAGUUAUUGUAAGUUAUAUUAUAAAAAAAAAAAAAUUCAAUGUGUGUUUAUGCAAAUUUAGUUAUUGUCAAAGAAAAAAAAAAGUUAUCUUUUUCUUUAUUAUCAACCACCUUAGAAAAUGGCCUCAUAACAAGCAAAACUAUUAUAUUAGCCUAAUUAAUUAUAACCCUAUAUAUAAAUAAUGUUAAAUUCACUAUUAAAUCAUGCAGUUUAAUAAAAUUAAAGUUGAAUUAAUUAUAAACCGCGUCCAUGUAAAAUGUGUGUGUGUGAAAUCAAUGAAUACAACUUGAUGCAUGUACAUUUAAUUUCAAGGACUUAGUCUAAACGCCAAAGACAAAAAUAAUUAACGAAAGUCGUGUCAAUGAAAUCAAUAAUCAUUUCCAAUAGCAAAAUCUGAGUUCAGACUUUUCUACUGAAUUACUUAGGUUUAAGUUUCCCCGAAAGCAUAUGAACGCCCCAGUCUUUACUUUUCUUCAGCUGGGUGCAUGCAUUCUUGUUCUUGUUAAUUUUCAUUGACAUUAUUUUCUCGAUUUUAAUAUUAACAAUUCUAUUGCAUUUGCAUUCCGCCUUAUAACAUGAAAUUCCCUUACAAAAAAGAAAAUUACCUACCUUCAAAUUUCUUAUUAAAUUAACAACAAUUUCUUAUCAAUUUAAUAACAAUUCAUGGGAGUAACUUGCUGAAUAUAUCCCUCCAAUCAAGAUUUAAGGCUAAUUUGACUUGCACAUACAUAUGGCGGGAGUAAGCUCAAAAAAAUUAUAAAUGUCCUUAAUAAAGGCCAGUAAUCCGAUCUAUCAACGUACUUUGAUUUGCUAAAAAGAAAAAAAAAUUAUUUACGUAAAUCUGCCAACUAAUUGCUUAAAAUAUUUUCUUUUCUGAGAAUAACUUAAAAUAUUUUCAAUUACUCUUUUGAUCACAAUAAACGCCACAAAAGUUUAUCAUCUUUGUUUAUUCUUAUAUAGUUAUCUCUCACGUCAUCAUUAAUUGGUAGCAUUGCGUGUAUAAGGGGGUUGAUUAAACAUUUCCUUGACCCUUGAGUCACGUAUUUUGUUCUCAUGACAUGCCAAUAUUAAGUUAAUUUAACAAUCAACUCCAAAUCACGUGAAAAAACAAGAAAUUAAUAAAAAUAAUUACACCGAACCUUGAGCUCUAGUGAUAUAAAUAGAUGCCAUUUCUUUAAGUAUUAAAGAUCAUACAGCUAACAGCUCUAGCAUAAGGAAGCUCUCUACAUAAAGGGGCUAAGGCUCCCAAUUAAUUGAUUUUGGCUAUAUUCUGUUAAUCAUGAAGGUACGUGAGCCUCUUUUCUCCUAGAGAAUACAGCAUACGACUAUUGAUUUAUCAUGUAUUCAUGCAAAAAUAAAAUUAAAAAAAAAUUCCUUCUUUUCCAUAUAGAGGUUUUAAAAGUUAACAAAUAAUUAUAGUAUAAGGAUCUUCUCUUAACAUGAACUAACAAAUACUUUGUUCUGCGUUUUAUAUUCAGCAAAAGAUAGUCAUAAAGGUGCAAAUGACUUGCAAAAAAUGCAGAAAGAAAGCCAUGAAGAUUGCGGUGAAGGCAGAUGGUUAGCACUGUAUACAUUUAAUGAAAUAAUAACUUCAUUAAUUACUUCGUAUCUAGCCAAUUGUUAUGAAUUAAUGUUGCAAUUCUUUUAAUUGCAUAUAUAUAUAUAUAUAGGAGUUAUAAAGGUGGAGAUAAAAGGAGAAGGAAAAGAUGAAUUGGUGGUGAUAGGAAACGAAGUGGAUUCGGUGAAGCUAACCAGGAAGCUGCAAAAGAAGCUCGGAUUUGCGUCUCUAUUGAGCGUCCAAGAAGAGAAAGAUGAAAAGGAAAAGGAAAAGGAAAAGGAAUCGAAAGAGAUUAAACAAACUCCAAUUGAGUGGGCAUAUUGUAGUCAAUUUCCUCCUCCGCCUUACCACCAUCAAUUUGUGGUAGACGCAAACCCAAGUUCUAAUUGCUUUAUCCUGUGAUCGAUUUGGCACAUAUGUAUAAUUCACCCUAUGAUCAAAACAACGCAGCUACCUAUAGCUUUUACACCACCAAAUUCUGCUUCUGCUCCGCUUUGAUUUGGUAAUUCGUAUUGAGUUGGACUGAUUUUAUUUAAAACUUUAAGUCGAUCUCUCGGAUUUAUAUAUGUAAGGUCAUUUAUUAUUCCAUCCAUUUUCUAACAAAGAAUAAUUCAUAUCCACCAGCAUGCAUGCAAGAGAAAUGUAUCAAUUAUAUAUUAAGCAUUAUCAUCACUUUAUUGUUUGAGUAUACGUCGGGGCUGGCUUUUUAAUUUCUGCUUUCUCCAUUUCGUUUAUACCCUUUUUAACCUUUUCUUUUUAGUAAAAUCCCUUGCUUAAUAAAUUGAUGUUUUAAGGAAAAUAAUACAAAAUAAAGAUAUAUAAAACAAGAAUCUAUGUUGAUUAUGCAAAAUAGUUGUCGCAUUGACCCCGAGCAGUAGCAGAUCCAGAAACAUAGUUUACUGAGGGCUAAAUUAUAUAGUAAUAAGAUGUAAAAAAACUGAAAUUUUAUGGGUUAUAUGUGUUAAUGGAGGUUAUUUAAAUAGAUUUAAUGGGGACUACAUUAAAUAAUAGUAACACCAUAUAUGGGUUAAAACGAGCUUUUAUUUUUCAAUUAAGUGUAGGCUUUAAUAAUUUUUAAAGUUAAAAUUUAAAAAUUUCAUGAAAAAAGCCUACACUUAACUUGUAUUAAAAAAGUAACUCAAGAGUUUGGGGUUAUCCGAAUCUUAUAUUAUUAAGGGCAGUGAGAAUUAAUUGUCUUACCUAAUAAUUUGCCGAUGUGAGAUAAUAAAAUAAGAGUAAUGAUAUAGCCACAAACUCUUGUACAAAUUUAUUUUGUACAAACUGAUGUGGCAUGAUAAGAUUGGUUGAAUUAAAUAUCACUUGGCCCACAUGAUUUGUUUUUACUAUUUUAUAUUUUCAUUCAACCAAUGAAUUAAUGCCACGUCGGUUUGUACAAAAUAAGUUUGUACAAGAGUUUGUGGCUGUAUCAUUACUCAUAAAAUAAUGAAUAUAUAUGAAUUGAUUGUCUAAAUCUUUGUUAAUUAACAAAAUGAUAUUCCCAAAUUAUCGUCAUUCAGUUUCUCCAAAUAUGCCAAUUUUAUCAUUGAAUCUCUAAAUUUUCAAUCGCUUGUAAAAGUUAAGUCUUUUGGGUUUGUUUAAAUAAUUAAAGUAAACGUUGUUUUCUCUUACAUUUAUACGUAAUAAAUUUCAGUAAAUUAAAUUGAAAUUGAUAUAGAAUGGACGUAGACGCAAUUUCUAAUUACAUUGGCCUUGGUUCAUUUUAACAUCAUCACAUAGUCUAGACUUUUUCAGCAGUAUUACAAGUUUUACAAUCUCAAAUGAGGUGAUGUUCACUUAGUGGAUAGUGUGCUGGAAUAGAGUAAUAAGUAACUUUUUAAAUUCUGAAAUUGAUCGAUCAUCCGAUAAACGAGUGUCACACAAGUUCAUGAACUGAAGAUAAUAGGAUAUGAGAUACUUGAAAAAUCUAGUAAAGUUCAUCAUGGAACCCAACCAAGUUUGUGGUUCCAAUUAAGUCAUUCGUCUGCAGACUUCUGGCUCGGUCUUGGUCAUGGUCAUGUUCGUGAGGUCUUCCGAAUUACGUUUUUCUGGAUUGUACGUUGUUCACAUCAACAUUCUGUACAAGAAUGGGAUGAGUUCUCCUCAAUCAAAAGACUUUAGAAUCUUUUUCAAGAGAUCCCUGAUUAGUUAUGGGCCUUAUGGGACUAUCUUUUGAGACGGUGAAGUUCAAUAUAAGCACAUAUUUGUACAAUCAUGGGCUGGGCUGCUAUAUACUAUGGACCAGCUCAUUUUUGGACUCUUGUAGUGUAAUUGAUUGUAUGGUAAAACCCAGAAAUCAACUUUUUAAUAGACUUUAAAGAAUUCAACUAAUCAUAUGUGUUAAAUUAAAAAAAAUAAAAAAAAAAUGAAGUCUUGCGUGCUCAGUUGAAACUAAUGCAUGAUCUCGCAAAUUAGCAGUCGUGAGAGAUGGGCAGCUAGCAUUUGAUGACAAAAGUUGGUUUACUAAUUGUCCUUACUAGUUAAUUAAUUUUAUUUAUCAGGUUUCAUUGAUUUAGAGUGCCCAAAAGUAAAGACGUGAUAGAUAAUUAUUAAUGCAAAUAAUAUAAUCAUUGCGCUAAUUAUAAUUUAAUUUGCUAACGAGUUAAUUACAUGUUUCUGCCACAUGGCCCAGUGAGCACAAACUACAACUACCAUUUCAAGUUCCAACUUUGAACUGCAAGUUGAUUAAAAAAGGGAAAAAAAUGAUAGAUUUUGAUGACCCAAUUGUCUUUCUUUAAUAUAUAGUCUCUUUUUCAUUAACUAUUAUACAUAUAUUAUGCAUGUAAUUAGAUAGUUAGAAGGAAGAAAAGACCACGAGUAUGAUAAUUUGGAAUUUGGAUCCCUUUUUAAGACCUUAGUGUUGAAUAUUGAUGGAAAAUAAUGAUUUUAAGCAACACAUCAUAUAUAUAAGUCAAGUGGUAGGUAUAGCCUAAGUGUUGAAUAUUGAUGGGAAAAAAAAUCGAUUUUAAGCAACACGUCAUAUAUAUAAGUCAAGUGGUAGAUAUAUAUGUAUAUCAAAACAUGAUAUAUUGUACCAAUGAAAGAAAACAGUAAUUAAUAAUAACCUUGAUUGUGAUCGUCAUUAAUUAUGUUCAUAUUAAAAUUAGGGGUCUUGCUAAAUUGUAUCAUAUAUAACUUAGGUUAAGUUCAAAGAUAGUUACCUAUCACCUCUCAAUUGUUUCACAUGAUAUCAUUUUUUUAGUAUUAAUUAACUACUUUUAGGUUGUUGUAACUUAUAUUAUAUAAAAAAUCAGUGUGUGUUUAUGCAAAUUUAGUUAUUGUCAAGGAAAAAAAAAAUUGUCUUUUUCUAUAUUAUCAACCCCCUUAGAAAAUGGCAUCAUAACAAGCAAAACUAUUAUAUUAGCCUCAUUAAUUAUAACCCUACAUAUGCUAAGCAUUCAAAGAUCAACCAAGUAAACCCUUCAACGCUUGAAAGUGGACACAGCUCUUACAUUGAGAAUGAACCACUAUAAAUUAUAUCUGUGUGGCCUUUCAUUUUUCCUUAAUUUUAUUUUUUCAAUUAUUGCUCUUGAUAAUCCAAAAAAUCCUUUGGUAUAAAAAUAUUACAUUACUACAUCUUGAGAAAUGUCAAUCCAUUUGAUUAGUUUUGAGUGAAUUUCUUUUAUAUAUGAAGCAACAGUAAACUGUUUAAAGAAUAAAAUUAUACGUUAAUCAUGUUAAGAUAUGGUACAAAGAUAUGGUACAACAAAGAAAUAAUCCUUCUCUAUUG
rnacentral:lncRNA from 1 species